GCCCCCAUCGUCUAGAGGCCUAGGACACCUCCCUUUCACGGAGGCGACGGGGAUUCGAAUUCCCCUGGGGGUACCA
rnacentral:tRNA from 3 species